UGAUCAGAAAGUUCAACUUUUUUUAUGUUAAUAAUUUGUUUUGUUAAAAUUAUAUUUAUUAGUUCUGACUGUAUUUUCAUGAAUGAUAACAAUAAUAGAACAAUUUGUUUCAUUAAUCUUUAUUUGUAAAGAUACAUCUUAACAUUUCGACUUUGAUUGUUUUGUCAAUGAAUAGAGAUUAUUGUUGCUCUUUAUAAACCUCAAUUUUUCUUGCUUUACCUUUCAACCGCAAUUGUUAAAAUCGACUCAAUCGGAUCAAUUUAAUCUUGUAGACUUUUUUGUUGACAUUUCACUUGCUAACAUGUUAAUCUAUUCACCUUGAACUCUUGAAAUUUCAGUAUCAUUUCGAGAUUGUUUCACAACUUUACUGGUCUUCUUCCAUUCCUUCCUGGUCCAUUGUUGGUUCAACAGGUUUCUGGGAAACUCAUGUUUUUCACCUUUUCCAUUAAGCUAGAGAUGCUUGUUUUGACAGGAUUACAACUCAAUCAUUCACUUUAAUUCAACGUUUCUCUAAUUUAUUCAAAAAUUUGAUGGAUUUUGGAUGAAAAAUCGGAUCAUCGUUUUAAAAAGACUGCAAUUUUUUAAUCGAUUGCUCUCCAGUUAUCCUGAUUUUUAGGCAAAAUGAUGAAACAUCAAUUUUCCUUUUCAAUUUUCACUUUAUUUUUAGACCAAAAACAGUUACAUAAAAGUAUAAAUAGAUGAAAAUCUUCAUUUUCAUCUUCAAUUGAAGCAAUUAUUACAGAUUGCAGUUAAAGAUUAUGUGAGGUCAUUUGCUGGUCCUUAAGCAAUAUUCAUGAUUACAGUUGUAUCCCUGUAUUGGAUUUCCAGGAAUUUACUUUCAAUUUCUCAGCUAUAACUAAAGCAAUCAAAGCUAAAACCAUUAUUAUCAAUGUUCAAAGGAUCAUCUUCACCUUAAUCCAACCGUCCUGAUUUGAAAGUAUCAUUGAAACAAAAACUGGAUUAUCUCAUUGAAGCCAUUAAAUGAUGACUGAACCAAAAAGACCAGAAGUCGUUAACUAAAAUAGUUAAAAGCCUGCUACUUCUCAACCAGAUUUACUCAACUUCUUGAUUUUAAUGGACCAACAAAUCAUUGGUAACAAUCAAGAUCAACCAAAUCACCUUCUUUUUGCUGCUUCUCGAAAUAAUCAAGGUUAUAACCAAUAAGGAUCACAAUUCAAAUUUUAAUGGGAAACCAGAAAAAAAAGUCAACAUAAUAUUACAACUUCCUCCAUCGAUGUGUACUUCAAAAUCAACUUGAAAGUUAGACCAAUUGGUUUUAAUUGAAAACAGGAAGAAGGAAACGUUUUAAAUGUGAUUCAAUUUAAUUGUUGUAAUACAAUGUUAAUAUUAUAAAUGGAAAGCAAUAAGCAAUGGCCAUAAUUUAACCAUAAACAAUAAAAAGGUUGGACAGAAAGAAAAGGUGUUGUUGUUGUUUUUUCAUUUUCAUCAUUGUUACCUGAAUAGCAAUCUAACCUUGAAGCGUUGGCGUUCAGUCCAAGUGUAUAAAACCAAGUGCAAACCAUUCACUGCUGUUUCUGGCUCCUGCUUAACCAGAUUUUUCAACCAUUUUUUUUUGGGUUGCGCCAAGGUUAAACCUGAUUAAUAACAAUAAAAACAAACCCAGGCCAAUGUAAUGUCACAAUUAAUCCAAAAAUUUUCAUCAUCUCAUCAGCAUCUUACCUCCUCCUUAUCAUCAUCAUCAUAAUCACCAUUCUUCCUGCAAUGGAUUUCCACUUUCUCCUUGAAACAAACCAAGAAGAAGCAAACCGUUUCUUGCAUUUAAAACAACCUUGAUUAAAAUUCCCAAUCAAUCUAUUUUUAACCCAAACCAAACCCUCUCUAUGUGAAUUAACUUAAUUGUUAUACAAGAUACCAAAUAUAAACAUUGACCAUUCCAUUUAACCAGUUUUACCAGACGUUAUAACAAUUGAACCUCAGAUGUAUUUGGUCGUUAGGCAUAUUACUCCUUUUACCAUGUUGAUUGAAAAUUACAACGAGCUGACCAUGAAACUAAUAUUAUUAAUAACUUGAUUAACUGUAGUCUUGUCUUGUUUUUGUUUUGCUGUUAAUUGAGACUUAUUUACACUCUAUUUGUGCUUCAGUUUUGUUCAACUAUUUUUAAAUUUACAGUUCAAUUUUGGUGCCUUUUUUGAAAGGUUGCUUCAAGGCUGCAAGUUGUUGAUCUUAUAUUACAAUCACUUUAUUUACUGUUUUACCAACAAGAUUAACAACAAUUAACUAAUUGAUAAACAAAUAUUGUUAACAUAA